AGCAGUCGCCACGGUAAUACGGAGGGUGCAAGCGUUAAUCGGAAUUACUGGGCGUAAAGCGCACGCAGGCGGUCUGACAAGUCAGAUGUGAAAUCCCCGGGCUUAACCUGGGAACUGCAUUUGAAACUGUCAGGCUGGAGUCUUGUAGAGGGGGGUAGAAUUCCAGGUGUAGCGGUGAAAUGCGUAGAGAUCUGGAGGAAUACCGGUGGCGAAGGCGGCCCCCUGGACAAAGACUGACGCUCAGGUGCGAAAGCGUGGGGAGCAAACAGGAUUAGAUACCCCUGUAGUCCCUGUCUCUUAUAC
rnacentral:rRNA from 1 species